GGGGCACGGUCACGCGCGUACCACGACUAUCACUCUUAAAUAUAUUUAAAUAAAUAGUUAAUAGUUAACUAAUAAUUAUAUUUCAUCCGAUAGUUCGAUAGUUCGUCGAGUUAAGCUCUCAUUUUAUUUAUUUCAUUCUAGAAAAAAGUGAUAAAUAUUUAUUUACAAAAUGGAAAACAUUCUGGAUCCUACUGGAUUGUACUAAUAAUUAAAAAUAAUAAUAAUAAUAAAUUUUUAAUUGAAAAAAGUGUCAGUUAAAAAACGUACGAUGGCUAAUGUUCUGGACCCGACUGGACUCUACUGACCAAAUUGUAAUUGUUAAUUAUUAAUUAAUAGUUGACAGAAAUUUGCAAGUAGAAUAAAAGGUCAGAAUUAAUACUAAUUAGUAGACAAAAAUCAUUUAACAAUGUUGACGUUGAUGGGGAAACUGGACCCCACGGGGGAGUACUGAGGCUAAUUCUUAUCUGCAAAGUUGAGGUGAGACUGCGGAAGACGUGAGUCAAGGUCACGACAUGGCUGAGGUGCUCGAUCCUACCGGGCAAUAUUGAGGAGGAAGAGGAAGGUGAGGAGAAGAAGAAGAAGAAGAAGAAUAAGAAUAAGAAUAAGUAGUAUGGUAGUAGAAAAAAAGAAAAAGGAACAAGUCCUGGAGACAGUCGACAAGAGUAGACGUAAAUAAAUAAAGUAAAAAAUAUUAUAUACCGAGUACCAAGUUCCCGUGUGGCAGGUGCACUGAUAGUGAUGUCGUCACUGGUAGGAAACAUUCAAAUGGUGAUAAACGUUCUCAGAGGCCGAGAAGAAGUUUCUUCGACGAAUUUAAGGAGAUGGGGCUGGAGCAUUCAUAUCCGCAAGGGCAGACACCAUCAGUUAUUUUGCUGUUUUUAAGACAUCGAUUAGCAAAAUGAUCACUGCCAACGCGAGAAGUAUAAGACUUUGAUGUAAGACGUCCAAAAAUCCAAAACCUGCACGUGAGACAGCAACAAUAGAAUCUUACUUCAGAAACAACACUGCCUGUUACUGCCAUGGAAAAUUAAGCUUUUAUUUUUUUCAUGACGAGACAUGUCAUUUAUAUGAUAGUGUA